CGUCAUUGUUUAAAGGACCCAAAAGCGCACGUGCGCUUACACCAAACGAUGGAGAAUAAAGACCGGAUGGUUGAGAAUAGGCGUUUCCAGACUUGCCUGCGGUCAAAUUGGUGUAUUCUCAUACCAGACAGCAGGGGGAGACAUUGUCGCAUUAAGAAGCAGACUGCUGGACUCAAUUAAAAGAGGAGAAACAUCCAUUCAUUAUGUAUACCCGCUUAUCCUGGACCGGGUCGCGGUGGGUGCUGGAGGCUAUCCCAGCGUGUAUUGGGCGAGACGCAAGAAUACACCCUGGACAAGCCGCCAGUCUAUCGCAGGGCAAGAUUGACACAUCAUUACCUUUGAUGCUACACCUCCGCACUGUCACCUCAAACUGUACUGCCUAGUUUUUUCCAGUAGAGUGCUCUGUAACACAGAAUUUCUCUCCAUUCCAGAAUUAUAAUAAUGAAAAUCACUUGAAUGUGUCAGGCCUAUUUGAAUCACUGGUCCAUUAUCAGUAUGAUAAAAUAAAAACAUCUCAAAGUUUAGA